rnacentral:tRNA from 1 species
UGAAUAAGAGCCGGUUUGGGCAUCUGAUUGUUACUCAGGGGGAACAUACUUGUAUGUUUAUUCAG